rnacentral:rRNA from 1 species
CACGUAGGGGGCGAGCGUUGUCCGGAUUUAUUGGGCGUAAAGAGCUCGUAGGCGGCUCGGUAAGUCAGGUGUGAAAACUCUAGGCUCAACCUAGAGACGCCACCUGAUACUGCUGUGGCUAGAGUCCGGUAGGGGAGCAUGGAAUUCCUGGUGUAGCGGUGAAAUGCGCAGAUAUCAGGAGGAACACCAGUGGCGAAGGCGGUGCUCUGGGCCGAUACUGACGCUGAGGAGCGAAAGCGUGGGGAGCAAACAGG